rnacentral:rRNA from 1 species
CCUACGGGAGACAGCAGUGAGGGAUAUUGGUCAAUGGGCGAAAGCCUGAACCAGCAACGCCGCGUGAGGGAAGACGGUCUUCGGAUUGUAAACCUCUGUCCUCAGUGAAGAUAAUUACGGUUGCUGAGCAGCAUUCCAUGGCUAAUUACGUGCCAGCAGCCGCGGUCACACGGCGGGAGCAAGCGUUGUCCGGAUUUACUGGGUGUAAAGGGGGCGUAGGCGGCUGUUCAAGUCAGAGGUGAAAGCCAUGGGCUUAACCCGGGAACUGCUUUUGAAACUGGCGGGCUUGAGUGAAGUAGAGGCAGGCGGAAUUCCCGGUGUAGCGGUGAAAUGCGUAGAGAUCGGGAGGAACACCAGUGGCGAAGGCGGCCUGCUGGGCUUUAACUGACGCUGAAGCGCGAAAGCGUGGGUAGCAAACAGGAUUAGAUACCCCUGUAGUC